CCCCCCAGCAAUGGCCAAAGAAGCACCUUGUUGGUGGUGGUAUUCCUAUAUCAGUCAGGGGCAAAUCAGAUGGUGGUCCUUUGUUUAUUCUAGCUUGAUGCCUGGCUUGGUGGCCAGUGCUGUUUUAUGCCUAGGACAGAUCG